GAUGAACGCUGGCGGCGUGCCUAACGCAUGCAAGUCGAGCGAAGCGCUUAAAUUAGAUUUCUUCGGAAUGACGAUUUUUGUGACUGAGCGGCGGACGGGUGAGUAACGCGUGGGUAACCUGCCUCAUACAGGGGGAUAACAGUUAGAAAUGACUGCUAAUACCGCAUAAGACCCCAGCUUCGCAUGAAGCGGUGGUAAAAACUCCGGUGGUAUGAGAUGGACCCGCGUCUGAUUAGCUAGUUGGUAAGGUAACGGCUUACCAAGGCGACGAUCAGUAGCCGACCUGAGAGGGUGACCGGCCACAUUGGGACUGAGACACGGCCCAGACUCCUACGGGAGGCAGCAGUGGGGAAUAUUGCACAAUGGGGGAAACCCUGAUGCAGCGACGCCGCGUGAAGGAUGAAGUAUUUCGGUAUGUAAACUUCUAUCAGCAGGGAAGAAAGUGACGGUACCUGACUAAGAAGCCCCGGCUAACUACGUG
rnacentral:rRNA from 1 species